UACAGAGGGGGCAAGCGUUGUUCGGAAUUACUGGGCGUAAAGGGCGCGUAGGCGGCCUCUUAAGUCGAACGUGAAAUCCCCGGGCUCAACCCGGGAACUGCGUCCGAUACUGGGGGGCUUGAAUCCGGGAGAGGGAUGUGGAAUUCCUGGUGUAGCGGUGAAAUGCGCAGAUAUCAGGAGGAACACCAGUGGCGAAGGCGGUGCUCUGGGCCGGUACUGACGCUGAGGAGCGAAAGCGUGGGUAGCAAACAGG
rnacentral:rRNA from 1 species